AUAAUUCAAAAAAAACCCCGUCUAAUGCUUAAACACCGUAUUAUACUAUUUUAUGCAAGCUUUAGACGGUGUUGUUUUGAACACCGUCUUAUAAAUAUCAUAAUGUAUCGAAGAAACCCUAAAAUAUACUCAGUAGAGUCCCCCAAAACCAACAUGCCACCUGAGUUUAAACCACCACCACACCACCUGUGUCUUUUCUUCUAAAUUCUUACAACAAGUGCAUUACAUCUGAAAUUCGAUCCCUGGAUCCGAAGAAAUCGAAGCACGGACUUGCACCGAAGAAGAUCAAAUUGAAAACGCAGUAGCUGUAGCAGUGAAUUUUGUUUUGGGAUAAAACACCCUCCGCUUCCUGCUCAAAACGCAGGUUCGUUUUUUGAUCCAGUGGUAACGAGAACAGAGGAAAAUCUCCGAUGACCACAACACCACAAUUGAUUUCUUGCCAUUUUCCAGCUCAAAACGCAGGAACCUCUACUAUCAUCUUAGAAAGUAUUUGGUGUAAAUGAGCCUUUUCUACCACUUCAAGGACCUUUACUUCUUAACUUAACUUGAGUUCAAGUUAUCCGACUAAGUUUGGAAAGCAUUUGACUAAGUAUCUGAUGAAGAAGCAGAUGAUGACACGUGUAUGACGUACAAUUAUUACAUUUUAUAUGUUAGGUAGUUUUAUGACGUGUUUGUGAAUUGUGACUUAAAACGAACCCGGAUUGUGACGUUUGUGACGUUUAUGCUUAUGUUUUUUUGAAAGGCAACCAUUUAUGCUUACGUU